GUCGUCGCGAGACGGGGUCUGAAGGAAGCCCAACGCGAAAGCACGGGACGACGAACAGGAACCGGAUACGAGGUGUGGCAGGCUCGGGACCACCGGGCACGUGACUAGGGAAGUCCUCCAUUCUCCAGUAGGGCCUGCUUUAUAAAUCCGGCGUCUACGUGCGGAAGGUUACGUGU
rnacentral:ncRNA from 1 species